CCUACGCGAGGCAGCAGUGAGGAAUAUUGGUCAAUGGGCGCGAGCCUGAACCAGCCAAGUAGCGUGAAGGAUGACUGCCCUACGGGUUGUACACUUCUUUUAUAAAGGAAUAAAGUGAGGCACGUGUGCCUUUUUUUAUGUACUUUAUGAAUAAGGAUCGGCUAACUCCGUGCCAGCAGCCGCGGUAAUACGGAGGAUCCGAGCGUUAUCCGGAUUUAUUGGGUUUAAAGGGAGAGUAGAUGGGUAGUUAAGUCAGUUGUGAAAUUUUGCGGCUCAACCGUAAAAUUGCAAUUGAGACUGGCAGUCUUGAGUACAGUUGAGGUAGGCGGAAUGCGUGGUGUAGCGGUGAAAUGCUUAGAUAUCACGAAGAACUCCGAUUGCGAAGGCAGCUUACUAAACUGCCACUGACAUUGAUGCUCGAAAGUGUGGGUAUCAAACAGGAUUAGAUACCCCAGUAGUC
rnacentral:rRNA from 1 species